CGCGAGGACAGUUGGGAUCGAAAAGGUUCUUCUACUGAGAUACUUGGACUUGCAGGACUCAGCUUGGCCGCUUGGUAUGGCGAUACGAUCAUGCUCGCUCCUACGGAACCGAAUGCUUGCUGAUCCAACAUUCCUGUUCAAAAUUGGGACGGAGAUAAUUAUUGACUCCUGCUGUGCAACUUUUGCGGAAGUUCAGAAGAGGGGAAAGGAUUUUUG
rnacentral:misc_RNA from 1 species